rnacentral:tRNA from 7 species
GCCUCCGUAGCUCAGGGGAUAGAGCACAGCUCUCCUAAAGCUGGUGUCGCAGGUUCGAAUCCUGCCGGGGGCACAA